CGCUCAGCAGCGCUCGGCGCCCGCCCGCCGCCCGCCCGGCCUCAGGCUGCCUCCCUCCCUCCGCCCUCCCUCUCUCCAUUGCGCCGGUUCGUUCUCUCGCUCGCCCUCGGCGAAUGGGCCCCGCGUCGGGCUCCGGGGCCUCGGGCCGCCCGGACGCCGGGGUCCCCUAGGCCAGGACGUGGGCGGGGCGGCCCGGCCUGACGCAGCUCUGCACCCUCCAACCAUCACCAGGGCCGGCGGCGGCUGCCCCGAGGGACGCGGCCCUAGGCGGUGGCGAUGGGGGCCGCCCGGAUCGCACCCAGCCUGGCGCUCCUACUCUGCUGCCCAGUGCUCAGCUCCGCAUAUGCGCUGGUGGAUGCGGACGAUGUCUUUACCAAAGAGGAACAGAUUUUCCUGCUGCACCGUGCCCAGGCGCAAUGUGACAAGCUGCUCAAGGAAGUUCUGCACACAGCAG
rnacentral:lncRNA from 1 species